rnacentral:rRNA from 1 species
GAUCUAGCCAUGGGCAGGUUGAAGGUUGGGUAACACUAACUGGAGGACCGAACCGACUAAUGUUGAAAAAUUAGCGGAUGACUUGUGGCUGGGGGGGAAAGGCCAAUCAAACCGGGAGAUAGCUGGUUCUCCCCGAAAGCUAUUUAGGUAGCGCCUCGUGAAUUCAUCUCCGGGGGUAGAGCACUGUUUCGGCAAGGGGGUCAUCCCGACUUACCAACCCGAUGCAAACUGCGAAUACCGGAGAAUGUUAUCACGGGAGACACACGGCGGGUGCUAACGUCCGUCGUGAAGAGGGAAACAACCCAGACCGCCAGCUAAGGUCCCAAAGUCAUGGUUAAGUGGGAAACGAUGUGGGAAGGCCCAGACAGCCAGGAUGUUGGCUUAGAAGCAGCCAUCAUUUAAAGAAAGCGUAAUAGCUCACUGGUCGAGUCGGCCUGCGCGGAAGAUGUAACGGGGCUAAACCAUGCACCGAAGCUGCGGCAGCGACGCUGAUGCGUUGUUGGGUAGGGGAGCGUUCUGUAAGCCU